rnacentral:lncRNA from 1 species
UCUUAUCUUUUGUUCUCUCUUAUCGAGAAAAAAAAUGACCCGCAUAAAAGAAUUCUUCACAAAACUUUCUGAAUCUUCUACCAACCAAAACAUUUCCAAUAUUCCCAAGAAAAAAAAGAAACUAUUCUUAGCUCUUUUUGCAACGCUACUCGUUGUCGCUGCCGUAAUCGGCAUUGUCGCCGGAGUGAACUCAAGAAAAAACUCCGGCGACAACGGCAACGAGCCUCAUCAUGCUAUCCUCAAAUCAUCAUGUAGCAGCACAAGGUACCCGGACUUAUGCUUUUCGGCUAUUGCUGCCGUUCCAGAGGCCUCCAAAAAGGUGACAAGCCAAAAGGACGUUAUUGAGAUGUCCUUAAACAUCACAACAACAGC